rnacentral:rRNA from 1 species
CCUACGGGAGGCAGCAGUGAGGAAUAUUGGUCAAUGGGCGGAAGCCUGAACCAGCCAAGUAGCGUGCAGGAUGACGGCCCUACGGGUUGUACACUGCUUUUAUACGGGAAUAACGCGCCUUACGUGUAGGGCUUUGCAUGUACUUUAUGAAUAAGGACCGGCUAAUUCCGUGCCAGCAGCCGCGGUAAUACGGAAGGUCCGGGCGUUAUCCGGAUUUAUUGGGUUUAAAGGGAGCGUAGGACGCAUGUCAAGCGUGUUGUGAAAUGUUCGGGGUCAACCCGGGCCUUGCAACGCGAUCUGGCGUGCUUGGGGCCGAGGAAAGCGAGCGGAAUU